rnacentral:lncRNA from 1 species
CGCCCCCAUGUGGCCGUCAGCAGCAUUGCAUGCGCGCUGCCAACAAGAGGCUGUUCCCAGGCCUGGGGCAGCAACAGGGCCACCUACGGGAACCAGCGCAAACUGCGACAUUUCACACCACACGAGGGGCGUCCGGAGCCAGGAAAAUGGUCCCGAAGGAAGCCGUGCAGACCAAGCAGCAGAGGAUCUAGGCCAGCAACAGCGAGGACAGGGUCCCGGGCCGGACAGCACAGCACUGAGCAAACCCUGGGCGCGCCCAGGAGGGACAUUCACGUGGCAGACGGGCUUCCUGGCCGGGGGGGGAGGGGGCGAGGGUCGCGGCGGUGGAUGCACCCCGUUGUACACGUGCCCUGGGCCCCAGGCCCAGCCGGGAGCUCCCUUGGCCAGAGCUGGACGCACCGAGCGCUGCUUCGGUCACGCCGGGUCAUAACCCAGGGUGUGCGAGUGCCCUGCGCCCACACUGACGGAGGUGAAUCUGGAACCAAAAGUAACUGAGGGGGAGACAAACCUCCUGUGCGGAGAAUCCAGAUACUGUCUGUGGGCGGCCGCCCUGCCGGGGUGGGGGGCGGGGCGUGCGGGCUCGGAGGAGGGGCACCCUCCAGCAGACAGCGGGACCGGGCGGAGAGCCCCCCUUGGGGAGGGGGGUCCUGGCAAACACAGGUGGCCAGACAACCAAAUCAACACGCACAGCAAACCGCCAUCUGGUCAGAACCUAGUGUGAUGGGAAAACACACAAAUCCGGGGAGGCGACGUCCCACAAAAUAGCUGGGCACGUGUCUUCCAGUCACCGUGGCCGCCAGCAACAAGGAGCAUCUGAGAAACUGUCACAACCAGAGGAGCCCAAGUGAUGACAGAUAUGAUGCGGGCCCUGGACGGGGUCCUGGAACAGGGAGCAAAUGACCCUGCUAGAAAGUAAGCAAAUGGGAGCAAGGGCCAGGUUUCAAUUACUGACAAUCUAUCAAUUCCUGUCCGUGAAUGUGACACAACAUGCUAGCGGCAGGGGCGCCUCGUGUGGGGCUCUUUGCCAUUUCCCAAUUCAUGAAUCCAAGUCACGUAAACCGCGUCCU